rnacentral:misc_RNA from 1 species
CAGUAAUAGAAGUCUGUGUACCGUCGCCUCCUACUGACUCACCAGACAUUACAUAAAUGUCAGAACGACACCUCUAUAAUAGAGUUCGCGAAUCUUUCGACGAAUCCUGUUGGCCAACGGUCAAUGUCAGGAAACGUGUUCGAGUAUCACAUAAAGAAGAAGCAAUUGCCGGGGACAAUGUUCCACUUCAAGGAUAUCUACCGUGCACGAUGUAAUGGACGAUUGUGCUUCUACGAUGGAAAAUAUUCUGCAGUGAAUAAAGGUUAGCGUUAACACACUUCACAAGUUUUACGCCGGCCGAGAGGAAAAGUACGCCUUUUAUAGACUCUCAGACAAUGCGUCGAUCGGUUCCUGCUGCGCACUGCCAUUUCCUUUCGUCGAUUUCCAUUAUGAAAAAGUGAAACUGUUUCAUAACUUUAUGUCUUGUUACUUUCCUUUGGCAAAUGACGUUUACCUUUCAUUUGCUUGAAAUAUUCUUCACAA